rnacentral:rRNA from 1 species
GACGAACGCUGGCGGCGUGCCUAAUACAUGCAAGUCGAACGCACUCUCGUUUAGAUUGAAGGAGCUUGCUCCUGAUUGAAUAAACAUUUGAAUGAGUGGCGGACGGGUGAGUAACACGUGGGUAACCUGCCCUAAAGUGGGGGAUAACAUUUGGAAACAGAUGCUAAUACCGCAUAAAACCUAACACCGCAUGGUGUAGGGUUGAAAGAUGGUUUCGGCUAUCACUUUAGGAUGGACCCGCGGUGCAUUAGUUAGUUGGUGAGGUAAAGGCUCACCAAGACCGUGAUGCAUAGCCGACCUGAGAGGGUAAUCGGCCACACUGGGACUGAGACACGGCCCAGACUCCUACGGGAGGCAGCAGUAGGGAAUCUUCCACAAUGGAACGAAAGUCUGAUGGAGCAACGCCGCGU